GACGAACGCUGGCGGCGUGCUUAACACAUGCAAGUCGAGCGGAGGGGCCCUGCUUUUGUGGGGUGCUGGAGGGUCGAACGGGGGAGUAACACGGGAGUAACCUGCCCUUGACUUUGUGAUAACUGCAGGAGACUGGGGCUAAUACCGCAUAGGAGCUCCUGCUGCGUGGUGGGGGUUGGAAAGUUUCGGCGGUUGGGGAUGGACUCGCGGCUUAUCAGCUGGUUGGUGGGGUAGUGGCUUACCAAGGCUUUGACGGGUAGCCGGCCUGAGAGGGUGACCGGCCACAUUGGGACUGCGAUACGGAGCAGACUCCUACGGGAGGCAGCAGUGGGGAAUAUUGCACAAUGGGCGGACGCGUGAUGCAGCAACGCCGCGUGCGGGAUGACGGCCUUCGGGUUGUAAACCGCUUUCGCCUGUGACGAAGCGUGCGUGACGGUAAUGGGUAAAGAAGCAACGGCUAACUACGUG
rnacentral:rRNA from 1 species